rnacentral:rRNA from 1 species
CCCUUAGAUGUUCUGGGCCGCACGCGCGCUACACUGAUGCUUUCAACGAGUUUUUCCCUUGAUAGAGAUGUCUGGGUAAUCUUUUGAAUGAGCAUCGUGCUAGGGAUAGUUUAUUGCAAUUAUUAAACUUGAACGAGGAAUUCCUAGUAAACGCAAGUCAUCAGCUUGCAUUGAUUACGUCCCUGCCCUUUGUACACACCGCCCGUCGCUCCUACCGAUUGAAUGUUCCGGUGAGCUCUUCGGACUGCGCGGUCUGCAGUUUCUGCGUUCCGUGCGGAAAGUUGCGCAAACCUUAACAUUUAGAGGAAGGAGAAGUCGUAACA